rnacentral:tRNA from 1 species
UAGCUCAGUGGUAGAGCAUGUGUUUGGCAUCAUGAGGGCCUGGGUUCAAUCCCCAG